CCUACGGUGGGUAGCAGUGAGGAAUAUUGGUCAAUGGACGAGAGUCUGAACCAGCCCAAUAGCGUGAAGGAUGACUGCCCUAUGGGUUGUAAACUUCUUUUAUAUGGGAAUAAAAUGUUCCACGUGUGGGAUUUUGUAUGUACCAUAUGAAUAAGGAUCGGCUAACUCCGUGCCAGCAGCCGCGGUCAUACGGAGGAUCCGAGCGUUAGCCAGAUUUAUUGUGUUUAAAGGGAGCGUAUGUGGAUUGUUAAGUCAGUUGUGAAAGUUUGCGGCUCAACCGUAAAAUUGCAUUUGAAACUGGCAGUCUUGAGUACAGUAGAGGGGGGAGGAAUUCGUGGUGUAGCGGUGAAAUGCUUAGAUAUCACGAAGAACUCCGAUUGCGAAGGCAGCUCACUGGACUGCAACUGACACUGAGGCUCGAAAGUGUGGGUAUCAAACAGGAUUAGAUACCCGGGUAGUC
rnacentral:rRNA from 1 species